UACAGAGGUCUCAAGCGUUGUUCGGAUUCAUUGGGCGUAAAGGGUGCGUAGGCGGCGCGGUAAGUCGGGUGUGAAAUUUCGAGGCUUAACUUCGAAACUGCAUUCGAUACUGCCGUGCUUGAGGACUGGAGAGGAGACUGGAAUUUACGGUGUAGCGGUGAAAUGCGUAGAUAUCGUAAGGAAGACCAGUGGCGAAGGCGGGUCUCUGGACAGUUCCUGACGCUGAGGCACGAAGGCCAGGGAGCAAACAGG
rnacentral:rRNA from 1 species